rnacentral:tRNA from 1 species
UGGGAUGUAGCUCAGUGGUAGAGUGCUUGCCUGGCAUGCAUAAGGUCUUGUGUUUGAUCCUCAGCACUGUAA